rnacentral:rRNA from 1 species
UUACCUACGGGAGGCAGCAGUGAGGAAUAUUGGUCAAUGGCCGGAAGGCUGAACCAGCCAAGCCGCGUGAGGGAAGACGGUCCUAUGGAUUGUAAACCUCUUUAGGCGGGGAGCAAUGCCGGGCACGCGUGCCCGGAGGGAGAGUACCCGCAGAAUAAGCAUCGGCUAACUCCGUGCCAGCAGCCGCGGGAAUACGGAGGAUGCGAGCGUUAUCCGGAUUUAUUGGGUUUAAAGGGUGCGUAGGCGGAUUUUUAAGUCAGCGGUAAAAUGUCCGGGCUCAACCCGGGCCG